GUACACAAAAAUGCACAUACUGUGAGCUCGAUGAGUAGGGCGGGACACGUGGUAUCCUGUCUGAAUAUGGGGGGACCAUCCUCCAAGGCUAAAUACUCCUGACUGACCGAUAGUGAACCAGUACCGUGAGGGAAAGGCGAAAAGAACCCCGGCGAGGGGAGUGAAAAAGAACCUGAAACCGUGUACGUACAAGCAGUGGGAGCACGCUUAGGCGUGUGACUGCGUACCUUUUGUAUAAUGGGUCAGCGACUUAUAUUCUGUAGCAAGGUUAACCGAAUAGGGGAGCCGAAGGGAAACCGAGUCUUAACUGGGCGUUAAGUUGCAGGGUAUAGACCCGAAACCCGGUGAUCUAGCCAUGGGCAGGUUGAAGGUUGGGUAACACUAACUGGAGGACCGAACCGACUAAUGUUGAAAAAUUAGCGGAUGACUUGUGGCUGGGGGUGAAAGGCCAAUCAAACCGGGAGAUAGCUGGUUCUCCCCGAAAGCUAUUUAGGUAGCGCCUCGUGAAUUCAUCUCCGGGGGUAGAGCACUGUUUCGGCAAGGGGGUCAUCCCGACUUACCAACCCGAUGCAAACUGCGAAUACCGGAGAAUGUUAUCACGGGAGACACACGGCGGGUGCUAACGUCCGUCGUGAAGAGGGAAACAACCCAGACCGCCAGCUAAGGUCCCAAAGUCAUGGUUAAGUGGGAAACGAUGUGGGAAGGCCCAGACAGCCAGGAUGUUGGCUUAGAAGCAGCCAUCAUUUAAAGAAAGCGUAAUAGCUCACUGGUCGAGUCGGCCUGCGCGGAAGAUGUAACGGGGCUAAACCAUGCACCGAAGCUGCGGCAGCGACGCUGAUGCGUUGUUGGGUAGGGGAGCGUUCUGUAAGCCUGUGAAGGUGUGCUGUGAGGCAUGCUGGAGGUAUCAGAAGUGCGAAUGCUGACAUAAGUAACGAUAAAGCGGGUGAAAAGCCCGCUCGCCGGAAGACCAAGGGUUCCUGUCCAACGUUAAUCGGGGCAGGGUGAGUCGACCCCUAAGGCGAGGCCGAAAGGCGUAGUCGAUGGGAAACAGGUUAAUAUUCCUGUACUUGGUGUUACUGCGAAGGGGGGACGGAGAAGGCUAUGUUGGCCGGGCGACGGUUGUCCCGGUUUAAGCGUGUAGGCUGGUUUUCCAGGCAAAUCCGGAAAAUCAAGGCUGAGGCGUGAUGACGAGGCACUACGGUGCUGAAGCAACAAAUGCCCUGCUUCCAGGAAAAGCCUCUAAGCAUCAGGUAACAUCAAAUCGUACCCCAAACCGACACAGGUGGUCAGGUAGAGAAUACCAAGGCGCUUGAGAGAACUCGGGUGAAGGAACUAGGCAAAAUGGUGCCGUAACUUCGGGAGAAGGCACGCUGAUAUGUAGGUGAAGCGACUUGCUCGUGGAGCUGAAAUCAGUCGAAGAUACCAGCUGGCUGCAACUGUUUAUUAAAAACACAGCACUGUGCAAACACGAAAGUGGACGUAUACGGUGUGACGCCUGCCCGGUGCCGGAAGGUUAAUUGAUGGGGUCAGCGCAAGCGAAGCUCUUGAUCGAAGCCCCGGUAAACGGCGGCCGUAACUAUAACGGUCCUAAGGUAGCGAAAUUCCUUGUCGGGUAAGUUCCGACCUGCACGAAUGGCGUAAUGAUGGCCAGGCUGUCUCCACCCGAGACUCAGUGAAAUUGAACUCGCUGUGAAGAUGCAGUGUACCCGCGGCAAGACGGAAAGACCCCGUGAACCUUUACUAUAGCUUGACACUGAACAUUGAGCCUUGAUGUGUAGGAUAGGUGGGAGGCUUUGAAGUGUGGACGCCAGUCUGCAUGGAGCCGACCUUGAAAUACCACCCUUUAAUGUUUGAUGUUCUAACGUUGACCCGUAAUCCGGGUUGCGGACAGUGUCUGGUGGGUAGUUUGACUGGGGCGGUCUCCUCCUAAAGAGUAACGGAGGAGCACGAAGGUUGGCUAAUCCUGGUCGGACAUCAGGAGGUUAGUGCAAUGGCAUAAGCCAGCUUGACUGCGAGCGUGACGGCGCGAGCAGGUGCGAAAGCAGGUCAUAGUGAUCCGGUGGUUCUGAAUGGAAGGGCCAUCGCUCAACGGAUAAAAGGUACUCCGGGGAUAACAGGCUGAUACCGCCCAAGAGUUCAUAUCGACGGCGGUGUUUGGCACCUCGAUGUCGGCUCAUCACAUCCUGGGGCUGAAGUAGGUCCCAAGGGUAUGGCUGUUCGCCAUUUAAAGUGGUACGCGAGCUGGGUUUAGAACGUCGUGAGACAGUUCGGUC
rnacentral:rRNA from 1 species